UCAAACAUAACAUUAGAUCUAACUAUUGGGUGGACCUCAAACCAGUAGCAUUAGAAAAGGAACUCAGAGAUCUAUCUUGUGUCAAAAGAUCAGCUAAAUCGCACCAUUGAAAGGCCUCCAUCCAUAUCUAAACAUCUGAUGUGUUUGUUCACUUAUGCACCUCAAAAUGGUCCAUAAUCAUCAAAGUUCUCCAGAACUUACCUGAACCUGAAAAUACUCUAAAACAUAC
rnacentral:lncRNA from 1 species